rnacentral:tRNA from 1 species
CCGACCUUGGCUCAGUUGGUAGAGCAGAGGACUGUAGUUGGAUUGUGUACCUUCACGCAAUCCUUAGGUCGCUGGUUCGAAUCCGGCAGCUCGGA